rnacentral:lncRNA from 1 species
AAAAUUAGCCAUGGAUUCGAUGACUAAAAUCUAUUGCAAAUGUGGGGUGGAAGCGUCAUGAGUGUAUCUUUUCCCAUUUACAGUGUAAAUGGAAUGGACAGAGCUUUCCCUGAAAUGACUCAGGAUAGAAGAGAAGGAAUCGCAAGAGUCCUGCUGAAAUACCUGAGGAAAUCUGUGCACCUCAUCAAUGGACCAGCUUGCAGGCAGGACAUCCACGAUGACAAUGACUGGCUUGCAAUCAACCUGGGUUCAUACUCCGAGUACACAACCUAUUCGGAUCUCAAAGACUUCAACAUCUCAGGGGUAAAACAAUUGUUUGCCAGUGUUCUUUGCAUGACCAGAAUUGACUAGUUUGACACUGCUCAUGUGUGGAAUUAUGGCUAUUUAGAGGGCUAAUGCAUUGUAUUCUGUUGUCUUCUUCUCCCCAGGUGGCAGUUCUAGACUCCCUCUCACCAAACCAGAAAGCUGAAUUGAUACUGGACCCAAGCACUGGCGCUCUGGAGAAUGAGACUCUUGUGAAGAACGUUUUCAUCAGCUUGCUGGAAUCUCCAAGGGAAGAGCAGCUCAAUGAGUUCUUUGUGACUUUUGUUGAAGUCACCAAGCAGGUCAGUACAUCACUCUCUGGCUGGAAUGGACCUUGUACAGUGAGACCUGGCUCUCGACAAAGUCAUCUGACAAAACAAUCAGGAUGAAUUGAUGUCCUCCUAAACCAUUAACCAUUUAUUUUACAGGAAAACAUCACUAUCAUCACAAACACAGCCGUAAGAGACACAAUGCUAGACCUGACCUUGAUGGCUCUUGCUCCCAAAUUCGACGUUUUUGAGCCAAAAGACUUCCAGCUGUGGUUCCAAGUCAAUCUGGUUGUUCUGCUGGCCAGCUUCCAUCCUGGCAGAUUGGUUGAUAUCCCCCUAAACAUCACCUGUGAAUCCUACAAUGCCAUGUAAGAGACUACUUUACCCCAAACAAACGUACAAGGGACUGCCUCGUAAAGUACAGAUUGACAAAAGACUGCGCUAAUGUCUCUUUCCUUUUUCUCUCAGAUUUACGGGUCUCGACCAAAGUUUGGAAUCUCUUCCGCCUCACCUCUCACAGGGUGUAAAGUCAAGCUUGGAUGCACUGAUGAAGACAUUCCAACGUAUGUGAUAAACUGCUAUUUUUCAACAACAUACACUGUAUCAUCUGAGCCCAGCAUUUAUAGAACAUUUAAAAAAUCU